AGACAGAGGAGGCGAGCGUUGCUCGGAAUCACUGGGCUUAAAGCGGGUGUAGGCGGCCGCGCAAGUGUCGUGUGAAAGCCCACGGCUCAACCGUGGAACAGCACGGCAAACUGCGUGGCUUGAGGUCGGCAGAGGUGGCUGGAAUUCUCGGUGGAGCGGUGAAAUGCGUAGAUAGCGAGAGGAACGCCGGAGGCGAAAGCGGGCCACUGGGCCGGUUCUGACGCUGAGACCCGAAAGCGUGGGGAGCAAACAGGAUUAGAAACCCUAGUAGUCC
rnacentral:rRNA from 1 species